rnacentral:tmRNA from 1 species
GGGGGCGUUCCGGUUUCGACGGAAUGUCUGAUGCGCUGGUUGCACGUGGAGGUUGAUCGGCUGGCCUCCUUAAAAGCCGCUCAAAACAAAUAAAUGCAGACUCCAACGAGCUCGCAUUGGCUGCUUAAUUGACAGUCACGUCCGAACCCCGACGCCUUCUGAGGGGGACGACGACACCUCAGAAGGCUGGAUGGAAAACCGGGUGGCCGGGUUUCCCAUCGAGAUCAAACAGGACACUAGGAAACGCAACGCGGCGGGUCGGCCCAGCGUUUCCGAAACACCAGAUGAUCCGCUAAACGUGUAGAUACCAUCGUUGACGGCGUUCCGGACAGGGGUUCGACUCCCCUCGCCUCCACCA